AAUGAACGCUGGCGGCAGGCCUAAUACAUGCAAGUCGAACGGUGUCUUCGGACAUAGUGGCGCACGGGUGCGUAACACGUAUGCAACCUACCUUACAUUGGGGGAUAGCCUUUCGAAAGGGAGAUUAAUACCGCAUAAGACAGUAGCUGGGCAUCCAGCAGCUGUUAAAGAUUUAUCGAUGUAAGCUGGGCAUGCGUCCAAUUAGCUGGUUGGUGAGGUAACGGCUCACCAAGGCAAUGAUUGGUAGGGGAACUGAGAGGUCAAUCCCCCACACUGGCACUGAGAUACGGGCCAGACUCCUACGGGAGGCAGCAGUAGGGAAUAUUGGGCAAUGGACGCAAGUUUGACCCAGCCAUGCCGCGUGCAGGAUGAAGGCGUUAUGCGUUGUAAACUGCUUUUAUACAGGAAGAAACGACUCUUGCGAGAGGCAUUGACGGUACUGUAUGAAUAAGCACCGGCUAACUCCGUGCCAGCCGCCGCGGUAACAC
rnacentral:rRNA from 1 species